CUCUCCUGCUAACUGCUUCUCGUCCUUGUCCUUCCUCAGUUGGAGUCAACGACAUCUGGAAAGAUGCCUUUUAUGUCACCAGGACAACCGGGAUGAGCCCCGAAGGACACACUACCUCUCUGGUGGUCAGCAAGCUUAGCCUGCGCUGGGGACUCAUGGAAGGCCAGAUGGUUCAGCUGAAGGAGACCACCCCGAAAAUCGGCCGUGGGGAACUGCGAAGAUUCCUAUCUAGGAUAAAGUUUGUUGAUUCUCCCUACCAGGUAACUAGCUUAUUAAUUACUUCUUAACUAAAA
rnacentral:lncRNA from 1 species